GACGAACGCUGGCGGCGUGCCUAAUACAUGCAAGUCGAACGCUUCUUUCCUCCCGAGUGCUUGCACUCAAUUGGAAAGCGGAGUGGCGGACGGGUGAGUAACACGUAGGUAACCUACACAUCAGAGGGGGAUAACACUUGGAAACAGGUGCUAAUACCGCAUAACAGUUUAUGCCGCAUGGCAUAAGAGUGAAAGGCGCUUUCGGGUGUCGCAGCUGGGUGGACCCGCGGUGCAUUGGCGAGUUGGUGAGGUAACGGCUCGCCAAGGAGACGCUGCAUAGCCGACCUGAGAGGGUGAUCGGCCACACUGGGACUGAGACACGGCCCAGACUCCGACGGGAGGCAGCAGUAGGGAAUCUUCGGCAAUGGAAGAAAGUAUGACCGAGCAACGCCGCGUGAGUGAAGAAGGUUUUCGGAUCGUAAAACUCUGUUGUUAGGGAAGAACAAGGACGUUAGUAACUGAACGUCCCCUGACGGUAUCUAACCAGAAAGCCACGGCUAACUACGUG
rnacentral:rRNA from 1 species